rnacentral:rRNA from 1 species
GAUGAACGCUGGCGGCGUGCUUAACACAUGCAAGUCGAACGGAAAGGCGCUGCUUUUGCGGGGUGCUCGAGUGGGGAGCGGGUGAGUAACACAUGAGUAACCUGCACUUGACUUUGGGAUAACUUCAGGAAACUGCGGCUAAUACAGGAUAGGAGCUCCUGCUGCAUGGUGGGGGUUGGAAAGAUUCGGCGGUUGGGGAUAGACUCGCGGCUUAUCAGCUUGUUAGUGGAGUAGUUGCGUACCAAGGCUUCGACGGGUAGCCGACCUGAGAGGUGAACCAGCCACCAGGCGCCUGCGGGAGGGCCCAGUCGCGAACGGGAGGCAGUAGUCGGGAGUAUUACACAACGGGGCGGCGCCUGAGGCGGCGACGCCGCGAGCGUAAAGACGUCCUACUGGUUGUGAACCGCUGUCGCCGGAGACGUAGCGUGAGUGACGGUAAUGAGUAAAGAAGCACCGGCUAACUACGUG